AUUUUGGAUUAAAGAUGCAUUUAACAAUAAGGUGUUUUUGAUAAAGGGACCGACUUGUUUUUGCUGUACUAGUGGACUCAAAUUUAAAAUAUUGUCGGCUGGUGACGGUACACAGGAUUUGGAUGUACAAAUGAAAGCUGUAAUGUUAGGAGCCAGCUUUUUAAUUUUUGCUGUCUUCUUCAACGUAAGCAUAGAUCAGUUAUACCAAUAUUACUAUCCUGACCCGUUUGUUUACGUUUAAUAAUAAAUGCAUAUUUAUUUUUUGUUCAA